AUUGAACGCUGGCGGCAGGCUUAACACAUGCAAGUCGAGCGGGGGAARGUAGCUUGCUACUGGACCUAGCGGCGGACGGGUGAGUAAUGCUUAGGAAUCUGCCUAUUAGUGGGGGACAACAUCUCCGAAAGGGAUGCUAAUACCGCAUACGUCCUACGGGAGAAAGCAGGGGAUCUUCGGACCUUGCGCUAAUAGAUGAGCCUAAGUCGGAUUAGCUAGUUGGUGGGGUAAAGGCCUACCAAGGCGACGAUCUGUAGCGGGUCUGAGAGGAUGAUCCGCCACACUGGGACUGAGACACGGCCCAGACUCCUACGGGAGGCAGCAGUGGGGAAUAUUGGACAAUGGGGGGAACCCUGAUCCAGCCAUGCCGCGUGUGUGAAGAAGGCCUUAUGGUUGUAAAGCACUUUAAGCGAGGAGGAGGCUACUUUAGUUAAUACCUAGAGAUAGUGGACGUUACUCGCAGAAUAAGCACCGGCUAACUCUGUGCCAGCAGCCGCGGUAAUACAGAGGGUGCGAGCGUUAAUCGGAUUUACUGGGCGUAAAGCGUGCGUAGGCGGCUUAUUAAGUCGGAUGUGAAAUCCCCGAGCUUAACUUGGGAAUUGCAUUCGAUACUGGUGAGCUAGAGUAUGGGAGAGGAUGGUAGAAUUCCAGGUGUAGCGGUGAAAUGCGUAGAGAUCUGGAGGAAUACCGAUGGCGAAGGCAGCCAUCUGGCCUAAUACUGACGCUGAGGUACGAAAGCAUGGGGAGCAAACAGGAUUAGAUACCCUGGUAGUCC
rnacentral:rRNA from 1 species